GACGAACGCUGGCGGCGUGCUAAACACAUGCAAGUCGAACGGAAAGGCCCGGCUUUUGUGGGGUGUUCGAGUGGCGAACGGGGGAGUAACACGUGAGUAACCUGCCCUUGACUUGGGGAUAACUCCAGGAAACUGGGGCUAAUACCGGAUAGGAGCUCCUGCGCCAUGGUGGGGGUGGGAAAGUUUGGGGGGUUGGGGGUGGACUGGGGGCUUAUCAGCUUGUUGGUGGGGUAGGGGCUUACCAAGGCUUUGACGGGUAGCCGGCCUGGGAGGGGGACCGGCCACAAUGGGACCGGGGUAACGCCCCGCCCUCUUCCGGGGGGCAGCGGGGGGUAUUAUGCACCAUGGGGCGGAGGCUGACUGCAGCACGCCGGCUGGCGGGAUGCGGGCUUCCGGGUUGAAACCGCUUUCGCCUGUGACGAAGCGUGAGUGACGGUAAUGGGUAAAGAAGCACCGGCUAACUACGUG
rnacentral:rRNA from 1 species